CCACGCAUAAGAGAGAAAAAUUGGAAAAAAUGAUGUCCAACCCUCAAGUCACAUAAAAUCAAGCCAAAAUCUCUACAUGAUCAUCAUUCCAGCAUAAUCACACUGAAACAAUAAAUUGGAGAUCCUUCGAGUUGUGGCUGUGGGGAAAUAGUGGAUUACGCGCUCUUUUCGACCGUGAAUCCAUAUUUAUUACUUUUGUGCUUUGUGGAAGCUAUCGAGGUGUGUAGAUUUUAACUGUCAGAUCCAGACUUCUAGUAGUAGAUAUGGAAGUCGUCUUUUUUCCAUGUAUAGUUUUCGCUCCUUGGCACUGCGUAGUUCAGACGUUAUGCUUUUUGGUCAGGGUUUUUAGCGGUUUAUGUUUCUUUUGCUCAGUAACUGAUAUUGUUUAUAAUAUUUUUUAAGGCCUUGUUUUGCCAGUAUAUGAGGUUAGUUGUGUAUAUAAACUGACAUAGCUGGUUGAUGUGUAUGUAGUCUCUGCACUCUGAUAUGUGUAUAUGUACGUAAAUAUGUUUAUAAAAUGGUUUGCAAACUUUUCAACAGGCACGGUUGGUUAAGUUUACAGCCAUUAUG